rnacentral:snoRNA from 1 species
UGGCUAUGAUGGGAUGAAUUUCUUCACCCGACGACCUCGUGGGGAACAAAAUAACGAGCUUUUUAACACUGAGCACA